rnacentral:rRNA from 1 species
UACAGAGGUCUCAAGCGUUGUUCGGAUUCAUUGGGCGUAAAGGGUGCGUAGGCGGCGCGGUAAGUCGGGUGUGAAAUCUCGGAGCUUAACUCCGAAACUGCAUUCGAUACUGCCGUGCUUGAGGACUGGAGAGGAGACUGGAAUUCCCGGUGUAGUGGUGGAAUGCGUAGAUAUCGGGAGGAACACCAGUGGCGAAGGCGGUUGCCUGGGGCUUUGCUGACGCUGAUGCGCGAAAGCGUGGGGAGCGAUCCGG